rnacentral:rRNA from 1 species
UACGUAGGGGGGCUAGCGUUGUCCGGAAUCAUUGGGCGUAAAGAGCGUGUAGGCGGCCCGGUAAGUCCGCUGUGAAAGUCGGGGGCUCAACCCUCGAAUGCCGGUGGAUACUGUCGGGCUAGAGUGCGGAAGAGGCGAGUGGAAUUCCUGGUGUAGCGGUGAAAUGCGCAGAUAUCAGGAGGAACGCCAAUGGCGAAGGCAGCUCGCUGGGACGGUACUGACGCUGAGGCGCGAAAGCGUGGGGAGCAAACAGG